rnacentral:rRNA from 1 species
UACGAAGGGGGCUAGCGUUGUUCGGAAUUACUGGGCGUAAAGCGCGCGCAGGCGGUCUUCCAAGUCAGUGGUGAAAGCCCGGAGCUCAACUCCGGAAUUGCCAUUGAAACUGUUAGACUUGAGGACGAGAGAGGUGAGUGGAAUUCCCAGUGUAGAGGUGAAAUUCGUAGAUAUUGGGAAGAACACCGGUGGCGAAGGCGGCUCACUGGCUCGUAUCUGACGCUCAGGCGCGACAGCGUGGGGAUCAAACAGG